AUGGAGGAUGCGGUUGGUCGGAAGAAGGUAGUGUACACGAAAGUUGGCUGCGAGGUCAACUCCGGCGGGAUGGGAUUUCGGUGGUGGCAACUCCGGCGGGAUGGAAUUUCACUUGUCAGACUGCAUAUUUCAAAAGCCCUGAAAAAUAAAAUAAAUAUUCAAACCGUCGGUUCAGUAAAAACCGUUGGUUUACUGAUUUAA